CGUAGAGUUUCGAUCCUGGCGUCAGGAUGAACGCUGCGGCGUGCCUAACACAUGCAAGUCGAACGAAGCAUACACCACGGAAGCCUCCGGGCGGAAGAGGGGUAGUGACUGAGUGGCGGACGGGUGAGUAACGCGUGGGCAACCUGCCCUGUACCGGGGGAUAACACCCAGAAAUGGGUGCUAAUACCGCAUAAGCGCACAGUGCCGCAUGGCACGGUGUGAAAAACUCCGGUGGUACAGGAUGGGCCCGCGUCUGAUUAGCUAGUUGGCAGGGUAACGGCCUACCAAGGCAGCGAUCAGUAGCCGGCUUGAGAGAGUGACCGGCCACAUUGGGACUGAGACACGGCCCAAACUCCUACGGGGGGCAGCAGUGGGGAAUAUUGCACAAUGGGGGAAACCCUGAUGCAGCGACGCCGCGUGAGUGAAGAAGUAUUUCGGUAUGUAAAGCUCUAUCAGCAGGGAAGAAGAUGACGGUACCUGACUAAGAAGCCCCGGCUAACUACGUG
rnacentral:rRNA from 1 species